UGUAAAGUUCAAGCUCCGAUUAUGAGGGCGAUCCGCGAAUGGCUCAUUAAAUCAGUCAUAAUCUACUUGAUUGUUUAAAGAUUACAUGGAUAACUGUGGUAAUUCUAGAGCUAAUACAUGCACAAAAGGGGCGACUCUUGCGAGAAGCUCUGCGUUUAUUAGACUAAGACCAAUGAUUGCUUCGGCAAUCUUUCUUAAGGUGACUCUGAGUAAAUAACGGGUGAAAGCCCGUGUUGCUGACCUGACAUACCAAAAGGCCCGCAAGGGUCUGUCAGGCAAAUCAAUCGAGUGUCUGCUCUAUCAACUGUGGAUGGUAGGGUAAUUGCCUACCAUGGUGGUGACGGGUAACGGGGAGUUAGGGCUCGACUCCGGAGAACAAGCCUGAGAAACGGCUAGUAGGACUAAGGUCUGCAGCAGGCGCGAAACUUACACAAUGCUAGAUUACCUAUAGCGAUGUAGUGAAGAAAAAUAACGAUGUACUUCUGUUUAUACGCAGUAGUACAAUUGGAAUGAGACGACUCUAAACCAGUUAGUCGAGUAACAAAUGGAGGGCAAGUCUGGUGCCAGCAGCCGCGGUAAUUCCAGCUCCAUUAGCAUACAUUAAAGUUGUUGCGGUUAAAAAGCUCGUAGUUGAAUUUUACGCGGGCUCUAUUGGGAUGCGUCCGUUAAGGUUGGCCAGAUUUCAUAUCUGCGUCCAACUGGUCGUCAUGCCCUAUAGGAACCCGCUGUUUCGUCACUUAAUCGAGUGCGAAGCGGGCUAGCACAAUGACACACCUCGGUGUGUCUUGCACUAGCAUGUUUACCUUGAGAAAAUUAGAGUGCUCACAGCAGGCAGUUGGGGUGUAAAAGCUCCUUUAUGCUUGAAUAAUGUUGCAUGGAAUAAUAGAAUACGGCCUCGGUUCUAUUCUGUUGGUCUUAUAGAACAACAAACAAGUUGGUUAAAGCGAUCAAAAGUCUGUUUGCGAGUGUGGCUUCAUCUAUGCUUGUUUUAGUGUUAUGUUGCCUGGGGCCUAAAAAUCUCAGUGCCUUGCGCUAUACAACAUCGACGUUGCUAUCCAAGCACUCCUUACAUGGCUAGCUUCUCAACCAACUGAGGCAAUGGUUAAAAGAAAUAGUCGCGGCGGCAUCAGUACUGCAUCGUGAGAGGUGAAAUUCUUAGACCGAUGCAAGACUAACUGAAGCGAAAGCGUUUGCCGAGGAUAUUUUCAUUAAUCAAGAACGAAAGUUAGAGGUUCGAAGGCGAUCAGAUACCGCCCUAGUUCUAACCAUAAACGUUGCCAACUAGCAAUUGGGUUGCGAUUCCUUUAAUCGGAGUGUAAAACCUCCGAUCAUUAUGAUCCACCCAGCGGCUCUCGUAGGGAAACCAAAGUGUUUGGGUUCCGGGGGAAGUAUGAUUGCAAAGUUGAAACUUAAAGGAAUUGACGGAAGGGCACCACCAGGAGUGGAGCCUGCGGCUUAAUUUGACUCAACACGGGGAAACUUACUAGAUUAGAACUCUGGAAUGAUUGACAGAUUGAUAGCUCUUUCUUGAUUCAGAGGAUGGUGGUGCAUGGCCGUUCUUGAUUCGUAUUCCGAAACGUCUGCUUAAUUGCGAUAACGAGUGAGACCUCACCCAACUAACUAGUCGCUUGGUGCGCUCGGGACGUUAAAGUCUCUGUGGAUCCGGUGCGUAGGCGGCUAAAACCGUUUGCGUAUCGCCCAUUUGAGAUGUCCUCUGCUCGCCUGCGGACUUCUUAGAGGGAUAAACGGUGUUUUAGCCGUAAGAAACGAG
rnacentral:rRNA from 1 species